GCAUCCUGAUGCUCACUUCCCAGCUCUGGAUCCCUUAUGCAAUAAUAGUCCAAAAAGAACCCAUAGCAGACUUCCCUCCCAGCUACAGAAACCUCCCACAAUAGCACUCAACAGCCCUUCAUCCUGACCACCCUUAGUUGCCAAAACCUGUCAUUACCCCUCACUCUGACUAGCAACCUUCCUCCUACAACUUCUCACCAGUGCGUGCUGAGGCCUAAUAUCCCUGCCCUUCCUCCCAGCUUCUGAAGACCCUCUUCUCCAAGCAAGUGUCCCAUGCACCCACAGCCACUUGGCCCCAGCCAUGUUCCCUGGUAGCUUUGGAAGCUUCCCACACUGUAGAGAGGUGUCUUCUCUGCCAUGCUACGUGCAGCAUGGAGGAAGCUUGCUGCUGUCUUUCCCUGCCAUAAGAGUCUGGUCCUUAGGAAAGAUGGAGGGCCUGAUUCACUCCUGCGCUGCACCAUGUGAAGUCAUUUAUACAAGGGCAAAGUGAGGGCAACCUGGGUACAAAUCACUACCAUUCAGUGCUGAUGCAAAUGGUCGUUAACUUGAGUGCUAAGCUCAUUCUCCUGCAGGACUGCGUUUGAACAGGGAGGAGGACAGGCAGGCAUGGCGAUGGUUAUCUUCAAGGCAUUCAAUGGGGUAGGCCCAGAUUAUCUAGAAGACUAAAGUUGUGGGAUGAGGGCCAGGGUCAACAGCUGCACUCCUUAGGCACAAUGGAACUUUCUCAGGCUAAAGCUUUUCUGUGCAGGAGACAGGGCUUUCUUGGGAGUCGAUCUAUGACUGUGGAACAAACUCACACAGAAACCAAGGACCAUCAAAAACCUCAUCACCUUCUGCUCCAAGGACGAGGAAUACUACUUCAAUCUGGCCUUCUCUAAUAUAACCAUAGAGCAACAUGUACAUAUUUAUUAAAAUAAAAACAUUCCACUGCACACAAUUCUCUCUUUGGGGAGAGGAUAAGAGGGAACAAAUCACAUAUGCCAGAUGUUAAUCAUGUUGCUUAAUGCACUCUUGGAAGGCCCUCAUGGUUAUCAGGGCAGUAGAAGAACCUCUAUAGAAUAAAAUAGGGGUCAUUUGGCUAUGAAUCACCCAGGGUAUUUUUUUAUACAUUUUUUAAAUUAAUAAGUUGAGGUGAGAGGGAAGGACUCCAUCAGUGGCCAAUUGUUUCCCAAAAAACUCAGCUUCUGAAGGCCACUUUAGUGCCUUUUCAUAAUUGGCAGAUUUGUUCCUGGGGUCAGUGACUACUCAUUUGCUUCUCCACAAAUACUGCAGAGGAGAGAGGCAAAUGACUCCCUCAUACUGACCUCAAGAAGAGAUCUUCUGUCUGGGGGAAGAGCCCAAAAUUAAUAUUCAGCCAUGGCCUCUUACACAUUCUUCCCCACUGAUGGCAGUUUCAUCAGAAUAAAAAUAACCCUCCUGCAUGUCAGAGGUGUAGGCUACUCCUUGGAGAAUCCCAAUGUCAUUAUCAUACAAAGCUAAUGUGUCCGCUUUGCUGGCCUGAAAUUCCUGAGACAGCCAGCACAAGGCCUACUGCACCAACGAAAUCACAAGUAAACCCUAUUUUGAGAAGUGGUACAUAGGCCGUUGUGCUGGCCCUCUGAAUGGGGUGAAUUUCGCUCUGCAGAAGGACACUGUGUCAGCAGGGAAACAGACACAUGCUGGAUCCAAGAUGAGGUAAAGACAGGGGGAAGUUUUUUACUGGGGUAUAAUUUUCAUAGAGGGAGAGACUCCCUGGCUGGCUCAGAAGGAACAGCCUUUACACCAAGUGAGGCACAUAGAAAGGUCACAGAGGAGUUAGGCUCCAAAACAGACAGACCCCUCAAACAGUAUGUACAGACAGACUAUCGCUACAAAGGACAAUGGAUAUUGUCCAUUUCAUAAGAGCUUAAAAGAGCAAAAUACCUUCUGAGAAAAAUGAUUAGCCUCUAACUCCAAGGAGCAGAGUCAGGCCCAGAAGUUAUUUUUGCCUGUUAGCAUUAAGGUAACAGCUGAUUUUUCCUGACUGUAGAGAAGCAUACGAGUUUGUCUCAAUUAUAUUUGAAUAUUGGGUUAGCUUGUUUGUAAAGAUCUACAAAAGAAGUGACUAACUGUGCUAGUGGGUGUAAGAAGGUGUUGCUGGUUGACUGGUACGAAGAAUAAAUUACUGUGUUUUUGGUAAAAGGUCUAAAUAAUGUAUUUAUUCACUGCUAGCUACAGAGCUAAAAAUAAUUCAAAAUCACUCACCAGUCUCUCCUCUCAGAGUUCAAAGGAGAGAUGCGUUUUGCCCUUAAUAUUCUAUUUUCCUAAUAUUUCAAAUACAUAAAUAUUGUUAAGCUGGAGGUUGGGUGAAACCUUGUAAAGCUCAUGGGUAUAACGGAUGCCUUUUUUUUGGUCAGAAUAAAUGUAAAGAGCAAUUAAGCUCCUUUAUGGAAUAGACAGCUGAAAAAAUAGGAGCCACUGCUCAAAACGCAGGCUCCCAUGCAAGGCAGAAGUAGGUACUGAGAGAUUUUCCCCUGGAGUCUGAAUGCAAAUAUAGGGCGCUGUGUGUUGCUGGAUGGAGCUAUGUAUGUAUGAAAGAAGCAACAGAAACACCACAGAAGAUCACAGAAAAGGCAGCAAGAAAGCCUGACAGUGAGCCAGAAGAGCACUUGUAGUGUGGCCCUGAGAAAAAGCUAAGAGACAGUCUCUUUGGGUAGAGUGCUGGUUGGAAAGAGGUUUGGAACGGUGAUAAAAGAAAGCUGUGUGAUGUUUGAUUCCUACUGUGUUUAGGGAAAGAGCACUUUGUGUACUUUCUUUGUAAAUAAACAGGAUUACAUCAAAGAUACCUGACUAUCAUCAAUUUCUCCUCUGAAUGGAAAUAACCUGCAAGACCCCACAUAUUGGCUAACUGCUUGGGUCAAAAAGGGAGAAAAUAUUUUAGUUUUUAUUUAUUAUAUAGAUAUGCAAAGUAGCUACAUAAAAAUGAGGAACAGUUGCAGGAGAAAUACUGUCAGCUUUCAGAAAGAUUAAAAAGCUCCAGUGAAGGUUUAGCAUGGGGUUAGAACAAAAUGCUGAUCACGUUCAUCUGUAUUUUGAAACAAAAAAAAUUAGCAUAGCUCACACAAAAUGUAGACCAAGGACACUAGCUGCAUUUCUGAAUAUGAAUAAUAGCACAAUACUAUUCAUCAUUUAAGACUAUUACAGUUAUGUAUGGCUUUUAUAGUCUAGCUUCCAUAAAGCAAAAUGUUUUUCUGCUCAACCAGUUCUCCUGCUGGAAAGAUAGAGUUCAACUUAACUUUGGAUCUUCUGUAUUCCUAAAACUUCAGCAAAUAUUGUCUUCAGCAGUUACAGCAACUCUGACGAGGGCCAUAUGGCUUUUAAAAAACCCUAAGCAUAUGAAAGAAAUCCCCCUCAAGUCAAUUUUAAUUCCUUCACCAGAGAAAUCAAUAUAAUGCUCUUUUUC